rnacentral:rRNA from 1 species
CAUAGGUUAAUGAGGCGAACCGGGGGAACUGAAACAUCUAAGUACCCCGAGGAAAAGAAAUCAACCGAGAUUCCCCCAGUAGCGGCGAGCGAACGGGGAGGAGCCCAGAGCCUGAAUCAGUGUGUGUGUUAGUGGAAGCGUCUGGAAAGGCGCGCGAUACAGGGUGACAGCCCCGUACACAAAAAUGCACAUAUUGUGAGCUCGAUGAGUAGGGCGGGACACGUGGUAUCCUGUCUGAAUAUGGGGGGACCAUCCUCCAAGGCUAAAUACUCCUGACUGACCGAUAGUGAACCAGUACCGUGAGGGAAAGGCGAAAAGAACCCCGGCGAGGGGAGUGAAAAAGAACCUGAAACCGUGUACGUACAAGCAGUGGGAGCCUCUUAAUGGGGUGACUGCGUACCUUUUGUAUAAUGGGUCAGCGACUUAUAUUCUGUAGCAAGGUUAACCGAAUAGGGGAGCCGAAGGGAAACCGAGUCUUAACUGGGCGUUAAGUUGCAGGGUAUAGACCCGAAACCCGGUGAUCUAGCCAUGGGCAGGUUGAAGGUUGGGUAACACUAACUGGAGGACCGAACCGACUAAUGUUGAAAAAUUAGCGGAUGACUUGUGGCUGGGGGUGAAAGGCCAAUCAAACCGGGAGAUAGCUGGUUCUCCCCGAAAGCUAUUUAGGUAGCGCCUCGUGAAUUCAUCUCCGGGGGUAGAGCACUGUUUCGGCAAGGGGGUCAUCCCGACUUACCAACCCGAUGCAAACUGCGAAUACCGGAGAAUGUUAUCACGGGAGACACACGGCGGGUGCUAACGUCCGUCGUGAAGAGGGAAACAACCCAGACCGCCAGCUAAGGUCCCAAAGUCAUGGUUAAGUGGGAAACGAUGUGGGAAGGCCCAGACAGCCAGGA